ensembl:lncRNA
GGACCACUAUAGACCAGUAUAGACCAGUAUAGACCAGUAGAAACCAGUAUAGACCAAUAGGGACCCAUAGGGGUCCAUAGAGAGCCAUAGGAAGCAGUAGAAGAUCCCAGGAGAACCCAUUGUCCAACCCCUUCCCACACCAGUAUGGACCAGUAUAGACCAGUAUGGACCAGUAUAGACCAGUAUAGACCAGUAGAAACCAGUAUAGACCAAUAGGGACCAGUUUGGGCCGCUGCGGACCCAUAGAGGUCAAUAGAGGCCCAUAGGAACCAAUAGAAGAUCCCAGGAGAACCCAUUGUCCAACCCCUUCCAACCCCUUCCAACACCAGUAUGGACCAGUAUAGACCAGUAUAGACCAGUAUAAACCAGUAUAGACCAGUAUGGACCAGUAGAAACCAGUAUGGACCAAUAGGGACCAGUAUGGGCCGCUACGGACCCAUAGAGGUCAAUAGAGGCCCAUAGGAACCAAUAGAAGAUCCCAGGAGAACCCAUUGUCCAACCCCUUCCAACCCCUUCCAACACCAGUAUGGACCAGUAUAAACCAGUAUAAACCAGUAUGGACCAGUACGGACCAGUAUGGACCAGUAUGGACCAGUACGGACCAGUAGAAACCAGUAUGGACCAAUAGGGACCCAUAGUGGUCAAUAGAGGCCCAUAGGAAGCAGUAGAAGAUCCCAGGAGAACCCAUUGUUGCACCCCUAUCAAACACCACUAUGGACCAGUAUGGACCAGUAUGGACCAGUAUAAACCAGUAUGGACCAGUAUAGACCAGUAUAGACCAGUAUGGACCAGUAGAAACCAGUAUGGACCAAUAGGGACCAGUAUGGGCCACAACGGACCCAUAGAGGUCAAUAGAGAGCCAUAGGAACCAAUAGAAGAUCCCAGGAGAACCCAUUGUCCAACCCCUUCCCACACCAGUAUGGACCAGUAUAGACCAGUAUGGACCAGUAUGGACCAGUAUGGACCAGUAUAGACCAGUAUGGACCAGUAUGGACCAGUAUAGACCAGUAUGGUCUAGUAUAGACCGGUAUGGACCAGUAUGGACCAGUACGGACCAGUAUGGACCAGUAGAAACCAGUAUAGUCCAGUAUGGACCAGUAUAAACCAGUAUGAAGCGGUAUAAACCAGUAUGGACCAGUAUGGACCAGUAUAGACCAGUAUGGACCAGUA